rnacentral:rRNA from 1 species
GGUCAAGCGAAUAAGCGCACACGGUGGAUGCCUUGGCGGUCAGAGGCGAUGAAGGACGUGGCAGCCUGCGAAAAGUAUCGGGGAGCUGGCAACAAGCUUUGAUCCGGUAAUGUCCGAAUGGGGAAACCCACCCGCUUGCGGGUAUCCUGCAGUGAAUACAUAGCUGCUGGAAGCGAACCUGGUGAACUGAAAUAUCUAAGUAACCAGAGGAAAAGAAAUCAACCGAGAUUCCGUAAGUAGCGACGAGCGAACGCGGACUAGCCCUUAAGCUGGAUUGGUUCUAGGAAAACGCUCUGGAAAGAGCGGCCAUAGAAGGUGAUAGCCCUGUAUCUGAAAGGGCCAUUCCAGUGAAGACGAGUAGGGCGGGGCACGUGAAACCCUGUCUGAACAUGGGGGGACCAUCCUCCAAGGCUAAAUACUACUGACCGACCGAUAGUGAACCAGUACCGUGAGGGAAAGGCGAAAAGAACCCCGGAGAGGGGAGUGAAAUAGAACCUGAAACCGUGUGCGUACAAGCAGUAGGAGCUCCGCAAGGAGUGACUGCGUACCUUUUGUAUAAUGGGUCAGCGACUUACUGUUCGUGGCAAGCUUAACCGUAUAGGGGAGGCGAAGGGAAACCGAGUCUGAUAAGGGCGCAUAGUCGCGGGCAGUAGACCCGAAACCGGGUGAUCUAGUCAUGCCCAGGGUGAAGGUGCGGUAACACGCACUGGAGGCCCGAACCCACUCCCGUUGCAAAGGUAGGGGAUGAGGUGUGAUUAGGAGUGAAAAGCUAAUCGAACCCGGAGAUAGCUGGUUCUCCUCGAAAGCUAUUUAGGUAGCGCCUCAUAUGUAUCCUCUCGGGGGUAGAGCACUGUUAUGGCUAGGGGGUCAUCGCGACUUACCAAACCAUUGCAAACUCCGAAUACCGAGACGGACUGUAUGGGAGACACACGGCGGGUGCUAACGUCCGUCGUGAAAAGGGAAACAACCCAGAC